rnacentral:lncRNA from 1 species
UGCACACAAUAGCAGGGGAGGGGCAGACAGAGAGGGAGAGAGAGAAUUCCAAGAAGGCUCUGUGCUGACAUCACAGAGCCCGAUGUGGGGCUUGAACUUAGGAAUGUCAGAUCAUGACCUGAGGUGAAAUCAAGAGCCAGGAGCUUAGCCAACUGAGCCACCCAGAUGCCUCUAUAUACAUAUACAGAUCCACACCAUUCCUUCAGUGGGGCCAGCUGCAUUUAUUCCACUCUCUGUGGGAAGAUAAGGUCAGGAGAAAUGAACUAUCUACUAAAGCCACUAUACAUUGAAAUUUCACCUGGAACAUAUCAAGUGGAACAUCAUCCCUCAAGGAAUUCCUCAAUUGCCUUACCACUUUGGGGCCAUGGUUGCUGUAAGUGAAGACCAAGAGAAAUUAGGAUGAAGGGGGCCCACCUUACUUCCACUUCUUGGUUCCCAGGUGAGUGUUUUCUAAGGAUGUAGCACACCAUGUCAGUCAUUGGUUCAGCAUCGAUGCCACAUCCUAGGAGAUAGAACUCUAACCCUCAGUGGUAGUCCCUGAGCUGGCAUCUUAGCUGAAAAUUUAUGAGGUCAAGCUAUGGUUCUAUCAGUUUAGAUAUUUCUAAGUAAUGAGAUAUAUAUGAAGACUAGGGCAGUCCCAUAGUCAUGUACAUAUUAUAGAAUUCAUUUAUUAAAAAGUAAGACCCCAGGAUGCCUGGG